GGGCCCGCACAAGCGGUGGAGCAUGUGGUUUAAUUCGAUGCAACGCGAAAAACCUUACCUACCCUUGACAUCAUCAGAACUUGUUAGAGAUAACUCGGUGCCUUCGGGAACUGAUUGACAGGUGCUGCAUGGCUGUCGUCAGCUCGUGUCGUGAGAUGUUGGGUUAAGUCCCGUAACGAGCGCAACCCUUAUCCUUAGUUGCCAGCACGUAAUGGUGGGGACUCUAAGGAGACUGCCGGUGCUAAGCCGGAGGAAGGCGGGGACGACGUCAAGUCAUCAUGGCCCUUACGGGUAGGGCUACACACGUGCUACAAUGGCCGGUACAGAGGGUUGCCAAGCCGCGAGGUGGAGCUAAUCUCAGAAAGCCGGUCAUAGUCCGGAUUGCAGUCUGCAACUCGAGUACAUGAAGGUGGAAUCGCUAGUAA
rnacentral:rRNA from 1 species